CGAUAGCGUAUAUUAAAGUUGUUGCGGUAAAAAAGCUCGUAGUUGGAUUUCUACCGAAGAUAGCCGGUCGGGUCUUCGACCUUGUAUCUGGUUUUGUCUUUGGUAUCCUCAUAGGGAACGUUUCUGCGCUUUAUUGCGUGGUGCGGUAUCUAUGACUUUUACUUUGAGGAAAUUAGAGUGUUCACGGCAGGCAAACGCCUUGAAUAUAUUAGCAUGGAAUAAUAACAUAGGAUCUUCGUCCUAUUUUGUUGGUUUCUAGGGCUAAGAUAAUGAUUAAUAGGGAUAAUUGGGGGCAUCUGUAUCAACGCGUCAGAGGUGGAAUUCUUGGAUUGCGUUGCGACAAACUACUGCGAAAGCAUUUGCCAAGGAUGUUUUCAUUGA
rnacentral:rRNA from 1 species